rnacentral:rRNA from 1 species
AUUGAACGCUGGCGGCAGGCCUAACACAUGCAAGUCGAGCGAGCGGCGGACGGGUGAGUAAUGUAUGGGGACUGCCCGAUAGAGGGGGAUAACUACUGGAAACGGUGGCUAAUACCGCAUACUAUCGGAUAACCCAUAUGGGAUUAGCUAGUAGGUGGGGUAAAGGCUCACCUAGGCGACGAUCUCUAGCUGGUCUGAGAGGAUGAUCAGCCACACUGGAACUGAGACACGGCCCAGACUCCUACGGAGGCAGCAGUGGGGAAUAUUGCACGAGAGGGUCAAGCCUGAUGCAGCCAUGCCGCGUGUAUGAAGAAGGCCAUAGGAUUGGAAAGUACUUUCAGCGGGAAGGCGUUACCCGCAGAAGAAGCACCGGCUAACUCCGUGCCAGCAGACGCGGUAAAUC